CAGCCGCCGCGGGAAUACGGAGGGGGCUAGCGUUGUUCGGAAUUACUGGGCGUAAAGCGCACGUAGGCGGCUUUUUAAGUCAGAGGUGAAAGCCCGGGGCUCAACUCCGGAACCGCCUUUGAGACUGGGAGGCUUGAACGUCGGAGAGGUGAGUGGAAUUCCGAGUGUAGAGGUGAAAUUCGUAGAUAUUCGGAAGAACACCAGUGGCGAAGGCGGCUCACUGGACGACUGUUGACGCUGAGGUGCGAAAGCGUGGGGAGCAAACAGGAUUAGAUACCCCCGUAGUCCCUGUCUCUUAUAC
rnacentral:rRNA from 1 species